rnacentral:snoRNA from 1 species
GCAGCACACUGUUAAAGCCUGGCGGAGGCCAGCGUGGCCGCUGAGCCCCGGGUGUCGGAGGUGUGCCACAGCAACGCAGGACUCUCGCUGACCCCACGAGAGCUCCGCUCUGUGACUGGCGGUGAUAGUGUCUCCUGCUACAGCA